UUCUGUUGUCCUUCAUUCCACCGGAGUCUGUCUCGUACCUAAUCAGAUUUCAGUGGAGUGAAGCACAAGAGACA
rnacentral:pre_miRNA from 1 species